GAGUGUGCAAACUUCAAGCUAAGGAAAGUGCUCCGGGCAAGGAAGAAGCCUGUCCGUGUGGUCCGUGAGCAGUGAAAGCAGCAAUGGUGUGGUUGACAGAAGGACGGAGGACUCAGGGAGGAGCUGGUCCGAUGCAGAUAAUGACAUGCCAGUUUGGAGAACAGAGGACUUGAGGCAUCAGCUGAUGUCUCGGUUUAGAUAUUCAGGAAGGUUUGAAAUGCGUUUAAUCAGCACUUUUAAACCGAGUGACUUCUUAGUUCUACACUCUAAAUUAAGUGGCUUGGAGUGGCUGUUUCCCACAGCCAGGCAGCCAUCAGUCCUGGAACUCCGAUAACAAACAACCUUUACAGCAGUGUGACACCUUGGAGUGAGCCGUUGUGGGGAGGACAGGAGAAAACGCAGCUAGAGGGCAGGAGACUGGGGGUGCUCAAGACUCUGAAACCGUAACCUGUAUCCAGUGUGAUUACAUUUGAAGAUGGGACCUGCACAGACUAGUAAAGCUUGGGUGAGGUCAUAAUCAGUGGGCCAAUGUCCUGAACUCUCCCAAUCCACAAAAAGGGCUUUUAGCAGGAACUGAAGAGGCCGACGGACCAUCUUGAACUUCCUCCAGAAUACUAAGAUCAGUUUCUGUUGUUGUACACACAGGUCUGUGGUAUUUUGUUAUGGCAGGCUGAGCUGCCAAAGCCAGAUGGCUUCCCCGAGGAGGUGAUGCUGAACAGCUGUUGUGCUGGGAGGCUUGCUGCUUCAUGCCCUGGAGAAGAUAAGUGGUUUGCCCAUCACACACAGCCAAGAUGAACUCAUCUGGACCCCUGCUCUUGCCGUGGUAUCUUUCUCUCUUCCAAUAUUAUGGGAUGUAGUUGUCCGACUUCGUCUUCUGUGGCUGUAACUGAGUAAUUUACAAAGAACAGGGUUUCUGGAGAUUGUCAAGCGAUUGUCAAGGUGUGGCUUCUGCUAGCCCGGGCCUUAUUUCUCACAAAGCCACUAAUGCUCUCACGGGGCCCCUCUGGAGUCUCUCUCAUCCUAGCCUCCUCCUGAAGGACCUCGGGGUUUACUUUUACACAUGAACUUAGUGGAGAACCUUUCAGCCACAGCAGUACUUUGAUUAAAUAAAAUUAGAUAAUAAUAAAA